GCAGUCAGACCUAGCCCGCGCCCCCGUAGCCGCCUCCUCUCCUGCCGCCGCCGCCUCGGCCUUGUUCGCCUCCUCUCCUGCCGCCGCCACCGCCUUGGCCUCGGCGCCCAUGCUCUCCCGGCGCCCGUCGGCCUCGACCCGGCCUCAGUAGGAGGAGCUCGGCCUCGAGACUCGGCAGGAGGAGCUCGCCCUCGAGUAGGACUCAACAGGAGGAGGGGAGCAGCAGCUGCGCCCCAUGCUCUCUCGCCACCCUCGAGGUGAAGGUAACGGAUGAAAUCCCAUGGACGAGCUCGAGCUGGAAGGACGCGGACGGCAGCGGCUUGGACCAACAUCGUCCUGCCGGUGCCUUGCCGGUGAGCGCCACGCAUGGUGCAGCAGGCGGCAGGCACGACUUUGGGAGCUGCGCAUCGAGCGACGACUACUGCAUCUGCCUCCAGCACCAAGCCAAGAUGUAGAGCGGUGGUCGACGGCGGCAACCUGCUCCCAAGUUGCAAGUGAUGUUGCCAGAUAGCAGUAUACCAAGGGUUCUAAGAAUUUGAUUCAUAAAUGUAGCCAAGAUGCAGCGCGGUGGUCGACGGCGGCGGCCUGCUCCCAAGUUGCAGGUGCGUGCAUGGACAUCUUCAUGAUUACUGAUUAUAAGAUCUUCAUGAUUACUGAUUAUAAGUGAACACACGUAUCUUCUCUCGAGGUUCUGAGUGUUGAGAGUGGUUGCUCAUUGUUUCUGUAUUCAAAUACUGAUGAAUCAACACUUCCAAAAGAUAUACUGAUGGCCAAAGAAGAUUGGGGAAGUUCCACUAUGUUCCUACAGACUGUUGGCCAAAAAAGAUUGGGGGAAAAUAGCUCUGGAGAAGGAUUGAGAUGAAAAUGGGAUUGGGAUCUCACUUCGCAAUGCAUUGAAGAAUCAUGAUAAUUUAUACAGCCUGUUCUUUCUUUAGUACCAAUGAAUAACUUGGUUACACAAUAUACUUGAAGAUUGCAUUAGGAACAAAAUGCUUAGCAGACCAAACUAAUUAGGUAAGCUGAGAGCUGAUUGGUCUAACCCUAGAAUAAUUGGUUGCCAGUCAUAGAAUCAUCUUGUACUGUUGUACAUAACUAAUUUUGACUUGAACUUUGGUGUGGUCGUGUAUCUUUGAAGUUUUCUGGAGACAGACUACUCUUGCAUCAUUAUGUGCAACCCACAUGUAUCUCACUCGGCGAGAC